AAGUCGUAACAAGGUCUCCGUAGGUGAACCUGCGGAAGGAUCAUUAACACGUUUCCACGUACUACCUCCGUGAAUUGUUUUCAAUCUACCUUCGCAUAGUGAGAAAUGAAUCGAGCCAGCUUCAGGAUUGAUUGGGCCUUGCAAUGUGCUCGUGCUGCCUGGGUCCGCCACUGAGUAUUGUCGUUCGCGACAGUAUUCGACGAUUGUAUUCUUGCUGAAGGCAUUCUUUAUGGCUCUAUUCCCGUUGCAUCCAUAUCAACGGUGGGGAUAGGGUCGCCAUUAUUUAACUACAUUCACCCUUUUUUUGCUAGUUGACUUUUUUCAUGUUGGACUGCGGCGCUUGUCGCUCAGCUCAGCGCGUUUAAUUUAUUUGAACGAAAUCGUACAACUCUUAGCAAUGGAUAUCUCGGUUCUC
rnacentral:misc_RNA from 1 species